rnacentral:rRNA from 1 species
CCUACGGGAGACUGCAGUGGGGAAUAUUGCACAAUGGGGGAAACCCUGAUGCAGCGACGCCGCGUGAGUGAAGAAGGAAUUCGUGAUGUAAAGCUCUAUCAGCAGGGAAGAAAAUGACGGUACCUGAGUAAGAAGCCCCGGCUAACUACGUGCCAGCAGCCGCGGUAAUACGUAGGGGGCAAGCGUUAUCCGGAUUUACUGGGUGUAAAGGGAGCGGAGACGGCAGGGCAAGUCUGGAGGGAAAGGCGGGGGCUCAACCCCCGGACUGCUCUGGAAACUGUCCGGCUGGAGGGCAGGAGAGGUAAGUGGAAUUCCUAGUGUAGCGGUGAACUGCGUAGAUCUUAGGCGGAACACCAGUGGCGCAGGCGGCUUACUGGACUGUACCUGCCGUUGAGGCUCGAACGCGUGGGGAGCACACCGGAUUAGCUACCCCAGUAGUC